UCUCUUAAUUUCUAUUGAAAGAUAAGCUUUGCAAAAGCUUUUUUGUGGUUAAAGACUACUAAGAGAG
rnacentral:tRNA from 1 species